CCUCAAAGUCACUCAUAAUAGACUGUCAUUGAACGUCAAGAAACGCUGCAUUUUUCACGCCAUCCGCUGCUCCACCAUUGGGUUUUCAGCUAUAACAUUUCACUUCUUCACUCCAUACCUUCGCAUAUGGCAAAUUCCGGGCUUAUUCUACGCCAUAACACUAGUUAACUGUUACGUAACCCUUUGGCAUACCGCGUGCAGAAUUCUGUAAACAGCCGGAAAAUCUCUGUCCAGGAACUUUAAGGGCAAUAAAAUUUGUUUGAAAAGCAGCCUUUAGUGUAAACAGCUCCAUCCUACACUGGCGGUACGUUAUAAUGCAUUGUAACAAUUUUAACCUUUAUAAUAUCUCAUAAAAUCCAAUAUGAAUAAAUUUUACCAUAUUCUUCAGGGAUGUGAUAUAUUUAUCAAAUAGACUGUAUAAAAGGGUCCUGUGGUAUAUUUAAACUCCGUCAGAAGUGUUAACGUUUCUUGCACGAAGUAGAGGUUGAACUACAAUGCUCAUCAUAUAAAGUCACAUUAAUUAGGCGCACAAUAACCCCCCCCCCAUUUAUUUCAGAUAAAUUAUAUACAUAUAAAAUCCAUUUGCAUCUAGGUCUUUAAAGUUGCCUCUUUCUCUCUAGUCUGUAAACCAAAAAUUGGUUUGCAUCCUCAUACAUGUCAAUACGUAUUAUUUACCUUGACGCCCCAUUUUCUUUGGUUUCAUAAUUGGAUAAUACUUUGUGAAGAAUACAAUUUUAUGAAUCUUGUCACUAUGGAACAUCCGACACUUAUUGUAUAAUAUGAAGAUUUAUAAUUUGGUUCCCCUCUGCAGGAGGAACUGAGGCGGAAGCGUUACACAGCGCAGAGCAUAGGGCGGUACAGAAUCCUCCGGUUGCGACUCAGCCAACUGGUCUCCCGGUCAGCAUGCUUCUACAGUGGUUACGUAUAUGAUAGUUCUACUGCAGUUCAACAUGGGACAGCCUAACGACCGUCAGAUGAAUGCAACUCAAAAUACCAUUAAAUAGCAUUUAAGCAUUAGACAUUCCACAAGGGAACCAGCACAAUUAGACCUAUUAUAUAGAAGAGAAUAGCAUACCACCUUAUUACACGUAGAACGUCCAUAAAAAAAUCGAAAUAUAAUUAUUAUUGUUAGUAUGUAAUAUUUAUUAAACUUCUAUAAUCUGCCUAUUGAAAUCUCAAAGAGAAUUUAGACAAGACAAUAUAUACGCAACACAAAAUUCCUUACGAAGCAAAUAUGAACUUUUUAUAUUGAACACACAUCUUAAAGCCUGUAAUUCAACUAAAUAUAAUGAAACAGAUCGAUACACACGAAUGUAUUUAUAUCUUACACGCAUGACAACAUAAAUUUGUUAAUUUCUUUUAAAUGUUCUACGAAAACGUUAGUAUAUUACAUGGACUCAACAAGUACAUUUUCCGAACAGAACACUUCACAUUUUAAAUUUGCUUUUCACAUUCUGAAUCUAAGUCCCAAUAACAUGGCAGCAACUACAAGAGGCUUUUCAAGAGACA